GAUAAAUAAACUGCUUUCCUGCUCUAGAGAGAGGCUGGAUAUUCCAGUCAUUUGGAUGAAGAGAAAAAAAGCCAGCUGAAAAGGAAGGAAAUAGGUUUUGAGCUUCAAGCCAACCUGUAAACUCGAUACAGAAAAUCAACCACCUUGGAGCAAGGCUCGCUGGGCGCCCAUGGAUGCAGGCAGAGGCUGGAGGUGUGCGUUGCCAAGACCAGCCAUGCAGCAGACAUUGUGAUAAUCUGCACUAAUCUGCACAGUUGCCUGCUUUCAUGUCUUACAGCGGAGGGAAGGAAAGAGUGGUGCCUGCCACCCAUGCUCCUGCCUGUAUCUGUUCCAGUCUCCCCAGCUGAGCUCUAGGAGACAUCAGAGUUGGAGUGAGCUAGUCUGCUUCCUGUGUUCUCCUCUGGAUACUUUGCAAGCAAGUAUUGU